rnacentral:rRNA from 1 species
CCUACGGGUGGCAGCAGUGAGGAAUAUUGGUCAAUGGGCGUAAGCCUGAACCAGCCAAGUCGCGUGAGGGAUGAAGGUUCUAUGGAUCGUAAACCUCUUUUAUAAGGGAAUAAAAUGAGGGACGUGUCCCGUUUUGUAUGUACCUUAUGAAUAAGGAUCGGCUAACUCCGUGCCAGCAGCCGCGGUAAUACGGAGGAUCCGAGCGUUAUCCGGAUUUAUUGGGUUUAAAGGGUGCGUAGGCGGCCUUUUAAGUCAGCGGUGAAAGUCUGCGGCGCAACCAUAGAAUUGCAGUUGAAACUGGGGGGCUUGAGUAUGGUUGAGGCAGGCGGAAUGCGUGGUGUAGCGGUGAAAUGCUUAGAUAUUACGAAGAACCCCGAUGGCGAAGGCAGCCUGCUAAGCUGUGACUGACGCUGAUGCACGAAAGCGUGGGGAUCAAACAGGAUUAGAUACCCUUGUAGUC